AUUGAACGCUGGCGGCACGCCUAACACAUGCAAGUCGAGCGGUAACAUGAUUAGUAGCAAUACUAAUUGAUGACGAGCGGCGGACGGGUGAGGAACACGUAGGAACCUGCCCAAGAGAGGGGGAUAACUAAGGGAAACUUUAGCUAAUACCGCAUAAUUCUCUGAGGAGAAAAGUUGCCCGCAAGGGUAGCGCUUUUGGAGGGGCCUGCGUCCGAUUAGUUAGUUGGUGAGGUAACGGCUCACCAAGACGGUGAUCGGUAACUGGUCUGAGAGGACGACCAGUCACACUGGGACUGAGACACGGCCCAGACUCCUACGGGAGGCAGCAGUGGGGAAUCUUGGACAAUGGGGGCAACCCUGAUCCAGCGAUGCCGCGUGGGUGAAGAAGGCCUUCGGGUUGUAAAGCCCUUUAGGCUGGGAAGUAGAUUGCGGGGUGAAUAAUCCUGUAAUUUGACGGUACCAGCAGAAUAAGCACCGGCAAACUCUGUGCCAGCAGCCGCAGUAA
rnacentral:rRNA from 1 species